rnacentral:misc_RNA from 1 species
UACGCUUUCUGAACUUUGUUAUUCAAGCCCUAAAUUGUUUUCAGUGAUUUGUCAAAGUUCUUAAAAUGUUAUCCAACCUUUUAUUCCUAAAAUUAAGUGUGACAGCAAUUCUGUGCAUAUAUAUGAUGUUACCAUUGAUUCUUUUUCUCGCCCCUCAAGACGAGGGGCGCCCAUUUUAUCAAAAAUUAAUGGCCUUUUUGAUCAUUUCUUUGUGGCCAAUAUUUACUUUUGUUUCGAUAGUCACCAUAUUAUUGUCACAACGAUAUCCGAAAUUAACUCUCGCAAGUGCUGUUGUUUGGCUAGUAAUAUCCCAUUUAACUCUCAUGUUUUUACUUCUUAACUGUGGAUUCGUGAAUGCUGUGCAUUGGUACGAUUUUCCGGACUUGUCUUUCAAACUCUUGAAAAACUGCAAACUAUCCUUAUUCAAGUAUCCUGAAAUGGGAUGGAUUCUUUUCGGCGAAACAUGGCCUCUCCUAUCGCCAGCUAAGGAAUAGCCAGGAUCGUCCUAUUGUUUUUCCUGUUGUGAGAAAUUAAAUUCAUAUAAAAUAUUUUAUUAUUCAUUGCCAUGUUUAAAAUCCAUCCGAACUCAUCAAGAUCGACAUCCAAAACUGGUGAGGCCAUUUAGAUUUCUGAUAUGCAUACCAUAAGCUAUUUGGAGCGAGAAACUAAACCAGUAAAAAUCUUUGAUCUGGCUGACAUAGCAUUCUUUGGAGCAUGCAACUUUUGUGGCUUGGCAGGAAUUUCUUUGUUACUGGGAGCUAUUGUGUUUCAUAGUGCAUUAAUAUGGAUAGCCGUGGGAAUACUUUUUUCUGUAACCAUUAUAGUUGGAAUAUACGUGUUUAUUUUGACAAUAACACAUUGGGAUGCGCAUAAUAUCCUGUUGGAUUUUGCGUAUAUCCUUACAGCUAUUUUAUUGACGGGAUCUCUCGUAUUUAUUACUGUAUCACUGUAUUUCUUUGGAAGUGAUAUGAAACAUGAAGAGGCCUCCCGUGACUGGAGAACACCAAAUUGUAAAGGUAAACGAGUGUUUAGGUGGUUUCAUGUAAGAGGAGUAUGGCGGUUGUUUAGAAGGAGG